rnacentral:rRNA from 1 species
AGUGAACGCUGGCGGCGUGCUUAACACAUGCAAGUCGAACGAGAACGGGAUAUAGCUUGCUAUAUUUGUCAGCUAAGUGGCGCACGGGUGAGUAAUGUAUAGAUAACCUGCCCUCUAAAAAGGAAUAACAGUUGGAAACGACUGCUAAUGCCCUAUAUGCCUUUAAUACAUAAGUAUGCAAGGGAAACGCUUUAGUGCUAGAGGAUGGGUCUGUAUGGUAUCAGCUUGUUUGUGAGGUAAUGGCUCACCAAGGCUAUGACGCCUAACUGGUUUGAGAGGAUGAUCAGUCACACUGGAACUGAGACACGGUCCAGACUCCUACGGGAGGCAGCAGUGGGGAAUAUUGCACAAUGGACGAAAGUCUGAUGCAGCAACGCCGCGUGGAGGAUGACACAUUUCGGUGCGUAAACUCCUUUUAUAUAGGAAGAUAAUGACGGUACUAUAUGAAUAAGCACCGGCUAACUCCGUGCCAGCAGCCGCGGUAA